AUUGAACGCUGGCGGCAGGCCUAACACAUGCAAGUCGAACGAGUGGCGGACGGGUGAGUAAUGUCUGGGAAACUGCCCGAUGGAGGGGGAUAACUACUGGAAACGGUAGCUAAUACCGCAUACCAUCGGAUGUGCACAGAUGGGAUUAGCUAGUAGGUGGGGUAACGGCUCACCUAGGCGACGACCCCUAGCUGGUCUGAGAGGAUGACCGGCCACACUGGACUGGAGAAACGGUCCAGACUCUUACGGGAGGCAGCGGUGGGGAAUAUUGCACAAGGUGCGAAAGCCUGACGCAGCCAGGCCGCGUGUAUGAAAAGGGCCUUCGGAUUGUAAAGGACUUUCAGCGAGGAGGCGUUACCCACAGAAAAAGCACCGGCUAACUCCGUGCCAGCAGCCGCGGUAAUUC
rnacentral:rRNA from 1 species